rnacentral:rRNA from 1 species
AUGUUCUGUAUGGAAGAUGCCAAGGAUAUCAAGCAAAUAUCGAUUGGUGGUCAUGGUGUGGGUGCAUCAUAUGAUGCAGAGGCCAGUGAUUUUAGUGCCAUUUUGGGACAAGAUAUCACACCAGAUUUCCUUGAUCUUGGAAUCACCGUUCCAAAUUCUGGUGGGGUGAUUCCACUGGGAACAUCGUCUGCUGGAGAAGUUGAUCAAUCCCUUCUCAAGCUGAAGCUGGACGAUUACAAGAUGCCUGGCGAAAAGAACCCAUACUCAUCACCUCCAAGGAGUCCUCCUGGUGGCAUCAAGCACUGCCUGCUUAGCCCAGUCACCCCUCUGGACCUGCUGGGCUCUCCGACCCAGCCAUGGAAGAAGCUCAGAGGAGUGGCGGCAGAGCUGGGGAUCGACAAGACUGGUGGCCAUGGAGGGGACAUGUCGAGCAUCAUGCUUGCAUUUUAAGCCAUGGUGACUGAAGGUUCGCGCACUCCGUCGCCGGGUCGCCGCCGUGUCUCGGCCUCGCCGGUGGUGCGCCGAGGCCGGAGCCCGACGCGGCGUGGCUGCCGUGAGGUGGUGGUGCAGCAGGAGGUCGUCCACCAGGCCAGCAGCACCGUCGUCUACCCGCCGCUGAUGGCGACGAACUACUUCGAGUGGUCGCUGAUCAUGAAGGCGACGGCAAAGGAGGCAUGGGAUGCCAUCAAGAUCAUGCGGGUCGGCGAUGCCCGCGUCCGUGAGGCCAAGGCGCAGACUCUCCUCAAGGAGUUUGAUGCCGUCCGCAUGAGGAGCGGCGAGACCCUUGAUGAGCUCACCAUGCGCAUGAACGGGAUCGCCAACAAGCUGCGCACACUCGGCGAGAACCUCGACGAGGUGAAGGUCGUGAAGAAGCUUCUCCGCAUCGUGCCGUCCAAGUAUACCCAGGUAGCUAUUGCCAUUGAACAGCUUCUUGAUCUUAAAACCAUGUCCAUGGAAGAGCUUGUGGGAAGGCUCAAGACGGCGGAGGACCGGAGCGAUUUGGACGAGGGCGCCAGCAACUACGACCAGGGUGGUGGGAGUCGCCUGCUCCUCACGGAGGAGGAGUGGCUUGCUCGCCACCGCAGCGGCGCCGGCAAGAAGAAGGGCAACUUCGACAUACGCAAGGUGCGUUGCUACAACUGUCAACAAGCCAUGGUGACUGAAGGUUCGCGUACUCCGUCGCCGGGUCGCCGCCGUGUCUCGGCCUCGCCGGUGGUGCGCCGAGGCCGGAGCCCGACGUGGCGUGGCUGCCGUGAGGUGGUGGUGCAGCAGGAGGUCGUCCACCAGGCCAGCAGCACCGUCGUCUACCCGCCGCUGAUGGCGACGAACUACUUCGAGUGGUCGCUGAUCAUGAAGGUGAACAUGGAGGCCCAACGCGUGUGGGACGGCAUCGAGGGAGGCGGGAGCUUCUGCCAGGACAGGGCGGCGCUUGCGGCAAUUCUGCGAGCCGUGCCGGAGGAGAUGCACUCCACGCUUGCCGUGAAGGCGACGGCAAAGGAGGCAUGGGAUGCCAUCAAGAUCAUGCGGGUCGGCGAUGCCCGCGUCCGUGAGGCCAAGGCGCAGACUCUCCUCAAGGAGUUUGAUGCCGUCCGCAUGAGGAGCGGCGAGACCCUUGAUGAGCUCGCCAUGCGCAUGAACGGGAUCGCCAACAAGCUGCGCACACUCGGCGAGAACCUCGACGAGGUGAAGGUCGUGAAGAAGCUUCUCCGCAUCGUGCCGUCCAAGCUCAAAACGGCGGAGGACCGGAGCGACUUGGACGAGGGCGCCAGCAACUACGACCAGGGUGGUGGGAGUCGCCUGCUCCUCACGGAGGAGGAGUGGCUUGCUCGCCACCGCAGCGGCGCCGGCAAGAAGAAGGGCAACUUCGACAUACGCAAGGUGCGUUGCUACAACUGUCAACAGUACGGACAUUACUCCAAGGACUGCACCGAGCCAAGGAAACAGCGGGCGCUUCUUGCUGCCGCGACGGCCGACGACGAGCCGGGGCUGCUUUGA